AGCACGAACUAAACAAAACAAUUCACACAAGAAAGCAUAAAAGUCAUUUAUUAAAUUUUGCAUCAUGAAAUCUGCUACUUUGUUUGUGGUUUCUUGUGUUCUCAUGUUCUUCGUGCUGCAUAAUACAAAAGUGGAGGCAAAAGAUCGUGCCCCUGAAAUUGUUGUCCACCUUACGAAGGGGAUAUGUCAUGAAGAUCCAACCAUAGCUGCCAAGCAAUGCUUCUACGAAGUUCUCAAUGAAGAAGGAAACGACUACUAUACUCGUUGCAAUUGUAGGGAUGCAGACGGUAGGCAAGGAGACUUUGGACACUAUUGUACAUGUUUCCAUUGAUAUGAUGUAUUUGUAUCUGCAUAACUAAAAUAUAAUUAAUAAAAGUUAGAUGUUAAUCCA